rnacentral:lncRNA from 1 species
AACAAACGAAUGGAAUGACGGCGUUCAACGCGGACACGCUCGGUGUUCCCUCCUGCAUUCACGCCGCGGUCAUGUGCGUGCUGUGGGUCCCGCACCCGUCCGGGCCCACUCACCGCCUCGCCCGCACCGCGUCCGCCACGUGCGCCGCACUGGAACACGACAAAGUCACCUUCGUCGUUGGUUCAUCUGUUGCCGACCGCAAGCCCGCAC